CUCUUACGGGAGGCAGCAGUGGGGAUUUUUGGUCAAUGGGGGCAACCUUGAUCCAGCAAUGCCGCGUGUGUGAAGAAGGCCUUUGGGUUGUAAAGCUCUUUUGUCCGGAAAGAAAUCGCUCUGGUUAUUACCUGGGGUGGAUGACGGUACCGGAAGAAUAAGCACCGGCUAAUUACGUGCCAGCAGCCGCGGUAAUUCGUAGGGUGCGAGCGUUAAUCGGAAUUACUGGGUGUAAAGCGUGCGCAGGCGGUUUUGUAAGACAGGCGUGAAAUCCCCGGGCUCAACUUGGGAAUUGCGCAGGUGACUGCAAGGCUAGAGAGAGUCAGAGGGGGGUAGAAUACCAAGAGAAGCAGAGAAAAGCGAAGAGAUAUGGAGGAAAG
rnacentral:rRNA from 1 species